GCUCGUGUGGCGGAAUGGUAGACGCUGAGGACUUAAAAUCCUUUGCCUGUAGUGGCGUGCGGGUUCGACUCCCGCCUCGAGCACCA
rnacentral:tRNA from 1 species